rfam:Ipomoea nil DNA, scaffold: scaffold2826, cultivar: Tokyo-kokei standard.
GCUGGUUUGCCCGAGAGGUUAAGGGGGAAGACUUAAGAUCUUCUGCACAUAAGUGCACAUGGGUUCGAACCCCGUAGCCAGCA